GGGACAGUAAAACUCCUGUGUGACCACCAUACAAGUCCUUAUUUAGAGAACAAAUGACAGUGCUACCUUUCCACAGUCAGGAUAUUACAGCCAUUAUUAAACAGAUGUCAGUGGGCUGGCAGUGCCUCUAAUAUCAGCAGUGCUAGAAGUAAUGCUUAUUUGUGAUUGCCAAGUUCCUUUUACUUUUAAAAUUCUUUCCUUAAAUGCAUACUUGGGUUAACAUUGUUUGAAUGGAUUAAGUAUUAGCAUAGGUUUAUGGUUAACUAUCUGUGGAUUAUCUGUUCUGAUAAUAAGAUUAUGCAAGGAGAAAUAUUUCUUACUCAUAUUAAUAUACUGCUUCUGGAACUAUACCUACUCACUUGUGAUGGAACAUGAUGGAGGAUAAUGUGAGAAAAAGAAUGUAUAUAAGUAAGUGUGACUGGGUCACUGCUGCACUGCAGAAAAUUGACAGAACACUAAACCAACUAUAACAGAAAAAAUAAAAAUCAUUAAAAAAUAGUAUUGCUUCUGUUAACAGGUUAGUCUAGCACUGGAAGUUGAUUUAUUUACUAUUGGUAUUAAGAUGAAUGUGUGGUUGACCCUGAAUGCUUUACUUGAUGGCUACUUUUAAGCCGACUAUGGUAUUAUGCUUAUUCUCUAACGUAUGUAUACUGUAUCUAAAAAGCUAUAGAUAGCAUCUUACAGUAACAUUUAAAAAUUACAUUAAGUUAUGUUUUUAAAGUAAUAUUUAAAGUUGAACUAAAAUUCUUUUCUGGGAGUUCCCGUUGCUGGGGGUCGAAUCGGAGCUGUAGCCGCCAGCCUACGCCAGAGCCACAGCAACGCGGGAUCCGAGCCGCGUCUGCAACCUACACAACAGCUCACGGCAACGCCGGAUCGUUAACCCACUGAGCAAGGCCAGGGAUCGAACCUGAGUCCUCAUGGAUGCUAGUCAGAUUCGUUUCUGCUGAGCCACAAUGGGAACUCCGUAUUAGUCACUUUCACAGCUUAUUUUUAUUUUAGCUAUAGCUUUGUGCAGCUUAGCCAAGACUUAAUAUUUGGAGGUAAUCUUUAACAUGCCAUGCUGGAUUUCUAUUGAUAUGGGUUAAUCUUAUGACAAGGUGGAUAAAAAAUUUACCAACCGUAAUUAAUGCAACUUGCUCAAACUUUCUUUUAUGGCUUUUUAUCAUUACCAUUUCCCAUGCGGGCAAAGUUAAGCAAAGCAUUGUAACUACUUUUUAGGGUGCUUGAUGCCUGCUUCUUUUAAUUUUUUUUAUGAUUUUACAGGGCCAUUCUCAAUGAUCAGAUACUUGCAUGUGUAAUUUUUUUUUCAAAGAAUAGAAAUAUACAGACCUUUAAUAUCAUUAGCAUAUUUAAGUUUGGUGGUUUUUUAAAAAAUGUAUUUAUAGUUGUACAAUCAUCAUCAUAACCUAAUUUUAUAGCAUUUCCAUCCCAAACCCCCAGGCCCCAACCUGUAUCCUUUGGAAACCAUAAGUUUUUCAAAGUCUGUGAGUCAGUAUCUGUUCUGCAAACAAGUUCACUGUAUCCUUUUUUUGGAUUCCACAUGUCAGUGAUAGCAUUUGAUGUUGGUGUCUCAUUGUCUGACCAACUUCACUUAACAUUGUAAUUUCUGGGUCUAUCCAUGUUGCUAAAAAUGCUAUUCUUUCUUUCCUUUUAAUGGCUGAGUAAUAUUCCAUUGUGUAUCACAUCUCCUUUAUCCACUCCUCUGUUGAGAGACAUUUAGGUUUUUUUCCAUGUCUUGGCUAUUGUGAAUAGUGCUGCAAUGAACACUGGAGUACCUGUGUCUUCUCAAGUCAUGGUUUUCUCUGGAUAGACUGCAUGUGUAAUUUUAUUAGACUUUAGUAGUCUGGGGCCAUACCUAUGUGUUUAUGGAGUUAGUAAAUUCAUCAAGGCAUUUACAGUGCUUCACUUUGUGAAGCUACAUCAACAGGUUGAGUUGGACUGUGUAUGCAUAAGUUUUAUGUGAUAUAUUGGUAUUCAUUAUAGUAGUUUGGAUUGUGUUAAAAUUAGUACUGAAAUGUUAAAUAUUUUUUCUUUGGAGAUUAUGAAAUGUAUUUAUUUGAUGUAAAUGGCAGAGAUCAAGGGGGAUGUCUUUCUCUGUAAGACUCAGAUAUCUAAGUCAUUGAUGGGUAUUAUUAGGAGGCUAGUUUGUAGUUACAUUAACUUUGGGUUGGUAAAGUAGGGACAAUAUGUUUAUUAGAUGAGUAGCUGACUCAUGUUGUUAUAUGCUUUACCUUAUCUGGGGAGUUUGGCAGGGCAAUAAUGGCAUGCAAAGUAUAAAGAUUUAGUGGGAGGUAGGAGGAUUUGGUUAAGGCGCUCUUUUACCUGGUAUACAUGUGUGUGUGUAUGUAUGUAAAUGCUCUAUGUUCUGUGAUCAUUGUCUUGAUUAACAUAGUUAAUUAUGUUGGCAAAAAAUAUUCAAUUUAAGCUCAGCUAUAAGUUGCUUGGCUGUGUUAAGGCCUCUGAUGACCACAGCAUCCCCCUAAAUUAAAAAAAAAAAUACCAAAUGCAUGAAACCAUAUGUGUGUGAGCAUAAGCUGAUUUGACAGUCCACUAAGAUGUCUUAUUUAAGGGGAGAGAGUGGGCAACUUUACCUGAGAUGGCUGUAAAGAACCAGAUGCCAGAUAUUGCUUAUAGAAAUCCCCAUGGGAGUUCCUGCUGUGGCAUGGCAGGUUAAGUACCCAGCACUGUCUCUGCGGCAGCUUGGCUUAUUGCUGAGGUGUAGGUUUGAUCCCUAGCCCGACACAAUGGGUUAGGAUCAGGCAUUACCAUGGCUGUUUUGUAGGUUGCAGCUGCAACUCAGAUUAGAUACUUGGCCCAAGAACUUACAUAUGCUGUGGGUGUGGCCACCCCCAAAAGCAACCCCCCUGGUUCUUGGAUCCAAAAUGUGGAGAGAGGCACAUUUGUGGGUAGGCUGAUGGUUUAUCAAGGCUUUUUGACUAAGCUCUGGUUAUUGGUUAGGAUAACCGUGUUGUACUGGAAAUGAUUGGACAUAAUGUGGCAUGUACAAUGAAUAAACAUGUGGUAUCCUA
ensembl:lncRNA